AUGACCUCCGGCCGCCCGCUGGCCCGGGGAUCUGCAGCUCUGCAGGCCCCUGGCUCAGGCCCAGGCCGGGAGGCCUCAGGGCUCUGUUCCCCGGGGAGGGGGAAGGGCUUGCCUGGGUCUCCUGGAGCAGAGCCUCGGGUUUUCCUUCUCCCCGGUGGCAGCGCAGGUGCCCCAGCGCCGCGAGGGGACUUCCCGGCGGGCUCGGGAGCACACCGUUCCACCUCCCUUUGCUUCCGCACCCGGCACGCCCCCGUCACGGGGGAGGGGCUGCGCAGCCGCAGGGCGCCCCCGCCCCCCUCAGGGCUCCCCGGGGCUCAGAGGGCGGGCGUGGGGGGUGUGCUCGGGUUGCCAGGGCGACGGCGCGGUUGCCAGUGGAGACGCUCACGCACACAUCCCCCCCGGGGCGUGGAACCUGGGGCUGCCCGGGCUGGGGGCUGCGGGGAGGUCAUGGGCUCUCUGGGUAGUCCCACUGUGUGGGGGGGAGUUCUGGAAGAAGCCCCCGAGCGACCCCUCCCCGCGCUGCCGACAGCGAUGACAGCAGGACUGGCCAGAGGAGCCCAGGCCCGUGCUGAGCAGGCGAUGUCCAAGCAACCAAACCCUCCCCCGCCAGAAACGCCAGGCAUCCGCGUGGCCCUCGCAUGGGGUGAGGGCCCCAGAACACAGGCCUUGGAGGCCCCACUGGCACGAAGCGCCCAGAACAGGCGGAGGGCUCGCGGCGGAGUCGCUGUGGAAGGCUGUGUCUCCUCAGACAUGUUCCUGGGGUUAUUAAUCUCCCCACAUCCUGGUCCAGCGUCCCAAGCCAGGUGGACAUGGAACACAGGCCCAGCUGCGUCAGGUGAAGGGAUGGGGGGCGUCCCCAGCUGGGGGCGACGCCGAGCCCCUGGGCCGGUUCCCGUGUGCCUGAGGCAGCCGUGACUCACGGCAGAGGAGUCAGCAGCAGCAGCCAGGGCCGGCUCCUCCCUGCACGGGGAAUGCAGCGAGGCCAGCAGGGCAGGUGGGCGUGGGCAGCGGGCUGGCCCGGCCCCGCUCCCGCCCGGGGCUCCCGAAGGCUCCCCCGGGGCCGGCUGUGAGACAUCGAGCCGGCAUCACCCCUCCUCAUUCCCGAGGAAAGAGGUCACCCCGGCCCCCACCCGCCCUGGCGCCAUGGCAGGCCCGGAGGUAGUGAGGUCCACAGGCGGCCUGGGGGGAGCGCGGACGUGGGACAGGCCCAGGAGGGAGUGCGCAGGUGGCAGCGGUCAGGGCCUUUGCCUGACCUGCACCUGGGCCCCGUCUCUGCUUGCAGCCCCUGCUGUGCCCUCCGGCCUGCCUGACCCCGCCCCCAGCCCCCCGACUAUGGCCAGACUCCUCUCCAUCUGCCCCUCGCCCCCUCCAGCCUCCUUGUCCUGCCUCGGCUCCUCUGCUCCCAACACUGACUGCCCUUUGGUGGCUGUGGGGCCCCUUGCACCCAGCCAGCGCCCACCCUCAUCUUCCAGCUGCCUCCCCUCUGCCUGGAGCUCUGGCCCUGCCCUCCCCAGCUCUCCUGAGGUCACUCAUUGCAGCCUCCCCUGGCCACCAACUAAGCAAGCACACAUGCAGUCACAUGUGUGCACAAUCACACAUGUGCACACACGCACAGUCACACGUGUGCGCAUAGUCACACACGUGCACCCACAUCACAUGUGUGCGCGCAGUCACACACGUGCACACAAUCACAUUGUGUACACACCCACACCAUCACACACGUGCACAUGCACAAUCAUACGCGUGCACACCCCGUCUGCAGAGGAGCCGGCUCCGUAGACAUGUGGCGUGCAGAAGAGUGAGCGAGUGUGUGGAGCUGGGUGGUGGUCCUGCUGGUCUCAUGGGGGCCGGGGGAGGUGGGUGUGGCCCUGUGAGGGAAAGCGCGGGGGGGGGGUUCGUCACCACAGACCCCACCCCCGUUCCUCGCGGCGAGGUGGCUGCGGGGGUUCAGCCUGGAAGGAACAGAAAGCAGGCAGCCGGGCCCAGCUGGGGGGCUUCCUGGAGACGGGCGCAGUGGGCCUGGGGCCGGAGGACAGAGUGUGGGGCCGGCCGGCCGGGGUCAGCCCGGCUGCCUCGGGUGCUCCCUGGCCCUCGUCUCCGGACCCGGCGCUGGGGCCCUGACAGGAAUACAAGGCAGACAGCUGGUGCUGCUCGGCCCCCCGCACAGGCGACCGGGGUGUGGCUGCGAAUAAGGAGCCACAAUUACCUCUCCUCCCGUCAUCCCACUGCUGGCCCCACUGGGGACCAGGAGGAAGGGCGGCCUGCACAGCCCACGGCAGCCCAGGAGACCACGGGCGCGGCCAGAGACAGCCAGGCUGGUGGGCAGCUCACAGCCAGGGCCGCUGGAGGCGGGGACAGACGGCGAAAAGCCCCUGUUCAGUCCUGCUGCAGGCCUGGGGGGUGGGGAGUGAACCAGUGGACGGAAUAGCGCGCCCCCGUGGCUGCCGUGGAGGCUGAGCCAGGGAGUUCGGGGAGGCAGGAGCGGGCGGGGGUGAGCGACCGUCAGGCGGAGCAUGGAGGGUCCCGCUGCCCAGGCACGGAGGAAUCGCACGGCCCCUGGGCAGUGCCUCUGAAAACCACCAAGGUCAACGGAAGCAAAAGGCCGGCGAGGCCGUGUGUCCGAGCAGCACCCGAGGAGGGCGGCCACAGAGCAGCGCUGGGAUCCGGAGGGACGCGAGGGGGAGACGGAACGAGGCUCAGAGCUGAGUUUGUCUGCACGGCCUCACGGGCCCGGAGGGACCCGGCACUCAGCCGCAUGCAGGUGGGAGCGGCAGGAUGACUGCCCUGGGGGUCUCCGCACGUCUAAAGCCCCACUGACUUCAGAGGCUCACCAAGGGGCCGGCGCGGUGGCGCAGUGGGCUGAGCCUCUGCCUGCAGCGCCCGCAUCCCUUAUGGGUGCUGGUUCAGGUCCCGGCUGCUCAGCGAGCCGUGCCAGCUGCAGGACCCGUGGGCGCACGCACGGAAGGGCCCGGGGCUCGGGCUGCCACUGUGCUGCUGCUGGCCUGACAUUCACCACUUUAUCCUCGAACUCGCCCCGUGUAGUGCAAACCCACGGGACACAGAGCACGCGUGUGCACAGACGCUGGCGACACACACCCACGCCGUCCAGGCACACCGGGGGCUCGGGGGGGCUCCGCUCCGGUGAUGCCGGGUGAGCGGGACGUGGCACCAGCGGGGCAGGAGUGACACCGGCAUCACAGAAGCCACGCCCUCUGUUCCACGCAGCAGCACGGAGAGGGACUGGCGCCCGCUGGGUGGCUCAGCCGCCGCCUCUGACACCCGUGCGUCCCACAUCCGAGGGCCUGCAUCUGAGUCCCGACCCCUCUCUCUGCCCAGCGGCCUGCUGACGGGCACCCUGGGAGGACUUGUGCCCCUGCCACUCACCCGGUAGACAUGGGAGAUGGGGCUCCUGGCUCCUGGCUGUUGCAAGCACCCGAGGAUUGAUCUCUCUCUCUCUCUCUCUCUCUCUCUCUCUCUCUCUCUGCCAGAUGCUACGAUGGAGGCAUUGGCAGCGUGUUCGUGGAGCAGGAAGUGAUGCAGAAACUGUCAAGCUGGUUUUGUGCAACCAGAGCCACGAACAGGCCACAAGACAGAAGCCGUGGGACCCCGGUGGCUCUGCAUGCGAGUGAGAUGUGCUCUCCCAACACUGCUGCACCCAGAAAGAGGAGUGGUGUGUGCACGCUAACGAUGAGCCAUCUUCAUGGUUCUGUGUUUGGAGUGACAGUAAAUAACCAAGAAAGGGGCCGGCGCUGUGGCGUAGCAGGUAAAGCCUCCGUCUGCAGCGCCAGCAUCCCACAUGGGAGCAGGUUCAAGCCCCGGCUGCUCCACUUCCGAUCCAGCUCUCUGCUAACGCCCUGGGAAAGCAGUAGAAGAUGGCUAAGUCCUUGGGCCCCUGCACCUGCGUGGGAGACCCAGAGAAGCUCCUGGCUCCUAGACUUGGCCUGGCUCAACCCUAGCUGUUUCAGCCAUUUAGGAAAUCAGAGGAUGGAAGAUUCUCUCUAUUUCUCUCUCUCUCUCUCUCUCUCUCUCUCUCUCUCUCUCUCUCUCUAACUCUGCCUUUAAAAUAAAUCAAUUGUUUUUAGAGAAAAUAACA
ensembl:lncRNA